UAGGGAAUCUUCCGCAAUGGGCGAAAGCCUGACGGAGCAACGCCGCGUGAGUGAUGAAGGUCUUCGGAUCGUAAAACUCUGUUAUUAGGGAAGAACAAAUGUGUUAGUAACUAUGCACGUCUUGACGGUACCUAAUCAGAAAGCCACGGCUAACUACGUGCCAGCAGCCGCGGUAAUACGUAGGUGGCAAGCGUUAUCCGGAAUUAUUGGGCGUAAAGCGCGCGUAGGCGGUUUUUUAAGUCUGAUGUGAAAGCCCACGGCUCAACCGUGGAGGGUCAUUGGAAACUGGAAAACGUGAGUGCAGAAGAGGAAAGUGGAAUUCCAUGUGUAGCGGUGAAAUGCGCAGAGAUAUGGAGGAACACCAGUGGCGAAGGCGACUUUCUGGUCUGUAACUGACGCUGAUGUGCGAAAGCGUGGGGAUCAAACAGG
rnacentral:rRNA from 1 species